AAGCUUGAAUUACCCUAGAUACAAUCCACAGACUGAAAGUCCCCCGAAGUGGGGAGACCCUCACUCAAGUCUCGGGAUAAUGCAACCCCCCAAGAACUCACGAGAGACC
rnacentral:pre_miRNA from 14 species